rnacentral:rRNA from 1 species
AACGAACGCUGGCGGCAGGCUUAACACAUGCAAGUCGAACGCCCCGCAAGGGGCGUGGCAGACGGGUGAGUAACGCGUGGGAACAUACCCUUUUCUACGGAAUAGCUCUGGGAAACUGGAAUUAAUACCGUAUACGCCCUACGGGGGAAAGAUUUAUCGGGGAAGGAUUGGCCCGCGUUGGAUUAGCUAGUUGGUGGGGUAAAGGCCUACCAAGGCGACGAUCCAUAGCUGGUCUGAGAGGAUGAUCAGCCACAUUGGGACUGAGACACGGCCCAAACUCCUACGGGAGGCAGCAGUGGGGAAUAUUGGACAAUGGGCGCAAGCCUGAUCCAGCCUUGCCGCGUGAGUGAUGAAGGCCUUAGGGUUGUAAAGCUCUUUCACCGAUGAAGAUAAUGACGGUAGUCGGAGAAGAAGCCCCGGCUAACUUCGUG